UCAACACAAUAUAUAAUCCCCAUAACAGCCUCUGCAGGUGCAGACUGAGUCAAGUUCCCACCAUGACAGUUGUACAGAGUGUCCUCCUCUUGGCUCUCAUUUCAGCUGCUCAGGGCCAGUCCCUCACCUCCUCAGAGCCAGUGGUGAGCAGAGCUGGACAACCAGUCACUCUGUCCUGUAAGGUGGACGGACUGUCUCUAGCUUGGCUGCACUGGAUUCGUCAGAAACCAGGGAAAGGACUGGAAUGGAUCGGACGCAUCGAUGGCGGAACUGGCACAAUAUUUGCUCCAAGUGUCCAAGGCCAGUUUUCCAUCACCUAAGACACUUCCCAAAAUCGUGUGCACUUAGAGGUUAAGAGUCUGAAACAAGAAGACUCUGCAGUUUAUUAUUGUGCACGAGAGCCACAGUGACACACAACACUACUAAGCUGUACAACAACUGAAUAACACUGAUCUCUGUGUGAGAAGCACUGAAGCAUGUCAGGGCUGUGAAAACACA